GUCUGAGGUGCUCCGCGUUCUCUGGGUAGUCCAAUACAACCUGCUGUCUCUAUGCAAAGGAGCCAACGUGCCUGUGUGUGUGUGUGUGUGUGUGUGUGUGUGUGUGUGUCUCCCAUCUCCAUCAGUCCACUUGGAAUGGGAAGUGAAGAGAAGAAUAAAGCAACCCUGGCAGCCAAUCUUUUUUUCCAGGACCUUUGCUGUUGAUGAUCAACACAGAAACACACAAUUGGUCAAUGUGCAGAGGACAAAGAAUAUUGGGGAUUCUCAGCUCUACUUGGAGCAUCUAUAUAACAUUCCUUCUUGGAAGAAGAGGUGGGGAAAGAUUGUAAGAGCCAGAGGCCCUCGAUGAUUACAAUGAAGCAACAUUUCCUGGAUACAGCAGGGCAUUUACACAUGUGACCUUAUGGAACAGUGGUUAUCCACUUCCCUAGUGCUGCAACCCUUCACUAUAGUUCCUCAUGUUGUGGUGACCCCAAAUAUAACAUUAUUUUUGUUGCUACUUCAUUAUUGUAAUUUUGCUACUGUUAGGAAUCAUAAUAUAAAUAUCUGUGUUUUCCAGUGAUCUUAAUCAGUCUCUGUGAAAGGGUCGUUUGAACUCCAAGGGAUCACACCCCACAGGAUGAACAUCACUGUGAUAAAUAUUUUAAAAGUAUGCAUCAGACUUGUACAAGCUCAAUUCGGACAAGAUUUCAAGAAGCCAGGGGAGGUGGGCAGGAUAUCCAACCCCUCUUUGAGAAGCUAUUGAUAAUUGAUAGUAUCUGGGAGAAGGAUAGUCAGUGUUCUGUAAAGGUGUGGCCUUUGGGAAGUCUCCAAUGAACACUCACACAUGCUAGGACAUAGGGAAAGACAAAUUGGACUUAAUGAUUUUUGUUGUUGCUGUUUUAAAAUUUUUAAAGAAUAUACAAGGUUGGGUAAAUAAAAACGAGGGUAUGGGGAAGCAGGGCGGGAGGGUAUAUGGGGGCUUUGAGGAUAGCAUUUGAAAUGUAAAUGAAGAAAAUAUCUAAGAAAAAAAGAAAAAAACCGAGGGUAUGAAUUGGGAAGGAGUUAGAGGAGGGAGGAAAUAUGAUAAACUACACUAGAAAAUUCUCAAAGAACUAAUUUUUUAACUUCAACGUUAAAAUAGCUAUUUCUAAAACAUAAUUAAAGACCAUUUUUUUUUAAUG
rnacentral:lncRNA from 1 species